UAGCAUAUCAAUAAGCGGAGGAAAAGAAACCAACAGGGAUUGCCUCAGUAACGGCGAGUGAAGCGGCAACAGCUCAAAUUUGAAAUCUGGCCUCUUUGGGGUCCGAGUUGUAAUUUGUAGAGGAUGUUUCGGGUACCGCCUCGGUUUAAAUUUCUUGGAACAGAAUGUCAGAGAGGGUGAGAAUCCCGUCUUGGACCGGCGGUAGGGCCCAUGUGAAACUCCUUCGACGAGUCGAGUUGUUUGGGAAUGCAGCUCAAAAUGGGUGGUAAAUUUCAUCUAAAGCUAAAUAUUGGCCAGAGACCGAUAGCGCACAAGUAGAGUGAUCGAAAGAUGAAAAGAACUUUGAAAAGAGAGUUAAACAGUAUGUGAAAUUGUUGAAAGGGAAGCGCUUGCAACCAGACUUGAGCGCGGCGGUUCCCCCUUCCUUUUGGUUGGGUUACUCCGCCGUGUCCAGGCCAACAUCGGUUCUGGGGGUCGGUUAAAGGCCCGGGGAAUGUACCUACUCCUUCGGGGGUAGACUUAUAGCCCCGGGUGUCAUGCGACCACCCGGGACCGAGGAACGCGCUUCGGCUCGGAUGUUGGCGUAAUGGUUGUCAGCGACCCGUCUUGAAACACGGACCAAGGAGUCUAACAUCUAUGCGAGUGUUUGGGUGUCAAACCCGGAACGCGAAAUGAAAGUGAACGGAGGUAGGAAGCCUUUGGGCUGCACUAUCGACCGAUCCUGAUGUCUUCGGAUGGAUUUGAGUAAGAGCAUAGCUGUUGGGACCCGAAAGAUGGUGAACUAUGCCUGAAUAGGGUGAAGCCAGAGGAAACUCUGGUGGAGGCUCGCAGCGGUUCUGACGUGCAAAUCGAUCGUCAAAUUUGGGUAUAGGGGCGAAAGACUAAUCG
rnacentral:rRNA from 1 species